rnacentral:rRNA from 1 species
UUAUGCUAACCCUGAACACACUGGAUCUUGUCUAAUUUUGGAAGCUAAGCAGGGCCAGGUCUGGUAAAUCUUUGGAUGGGAGACUCACUAAGGAAUACCAGGGAUUAAU